AAAAAAAAGGGCCCUUUGCCAAUAUUAUGUUUCUUUUGACAAGCCCUGAGAUUUCUGAGGGGAAUUCACAUAAAUGGGAUCAAGUCAUUCAUUUAUGUUGUGUGCAAUUAUAAUUUAAAGAUACAUCCUU
rnacentral:lncRNA from 1 species